UUAAGAUUGGAGUCCCAUCUCUGUGUGUUCUGUAAGAGGCAGUCGUUUUCCUAGGCUUUAGGUAGCUUGUGACAGAACCAUAUUUACUCAGAAUGCAACAAAAAUUAAAAAGAGGAAACAGAGGCAUUAAAUCAAGAAAAGUAAUGAGUUUAUAAAGGCACUAAUAAAUUGCUAGGUUCCCAUUUCAUAUCUCCUUGCACUUUGCAUAAUUUCUCUAUAAAUGACUAGGAGGAGAUAGUGCAGGGUAGUAAAGGUGGCUCACUACUUGUAUUUAUUUCAGCAGCAUUCUGUAUGAACACAGCGCUUGAUGGGCAAAAGCUGAGUUCACAAGUUACGGUCCUCAGUAUGCAAAGCACACGGGGGGUGCGUUGUUCAAGCCGUGCUGUCGGGGAGGAUGCAGUGAGUGAUUUUUGGGAGAGCCGGAGCUCAGGGCGCUGGGCACCUGUGAGGGAGCAGGGGCCCACCUGCUUCCAGGUCUGGAUUGCAAAGCCGCCUCCUGACUGCGGCCAGUCUGCCCUCAGCGGUACGCCUGAGGCGGGGUUAUGUGAGCCGAAAGAAAGGAAUGCCGAGGGCUGGGAAGGGAGCCGUACUUCCCUCAGAAGUAAUAAAAAAAGGAAGGAAAGAGAUGUGAAGACAGGCCGGGCCGCCCGAGGGAAGGCGCUUUCCUUUUGCGCUCCCGCCCCGCCAGGUGGCGCCAUUGCGCCGCGGCGGCCCUGAGGGGCUGCGGGGCCGGGCGGGCUGCCCUGAGGGGCCGGGGCUGUUCUCCUGCCGGGGAAGGCAGGAAAAUGCCGAGCUCCGGGGCUUUGGCAGCCGGCUGGAAGCACGGACUGAACGACGAGUAAUGGCACCGCCCGACGCGUGCUGCUGUUGGGGGCGCAAAGAGCUGAGCUCGCUGUCGGGAGCUGCAGGGUCCGCCUCCGCGGGGAGCCGCGACUGCCUUGUAGGCUUUUGGAGCAGCGAGGGGAGGAAAAAACACUCAGGACUGUAAAUGCAGAGCGAAAACACAAUAAUAUCUUUCACCAUCAUCUUUUCUCCUCUUAGAGCUGCCCUCAGCUUUACUCAGCUGUCUCUCGGCGGCUGGAUGACCGGGGCCAGGGACUCGAGUUGAGGUACCUGUUCCUGAUGGCUCACGACACUUUUAUCAAGCUCCGUAGAAUUGUUUCUCCUUCAUGAGGCUUUUGAACAAAACUCUGUGUCCUGCUUCUCUACUAUCCAAAGCUGAGAAGAGACUACAGGCUGUGACCCCAAAAAGUCAGGAGCCAGGAGCUAGUAGGACAUUUUCAGGCAUUUAACCUGUGAAGUGCAACUGCUGGUGCAAUUUUACCUUUGGGGAUGCAGCUGUAAAGCAUUUGGUGAACACUGCCAGCAUGCCAGGAAAACUAUGGUUCAGGGAAAGCUUUCAUCAGAAGCAACUUUCUCUGUAUCUUCUAUUUGAAGGACACAAGAACAAAUCUUAGUAUGUCUUCUUACGUGGGUUUUAGCAUAGUUAAACCAAGACACGAUGAUGUUUGAAAACUUUUUUAAACUUGGGAAAAAGUUAAUACUUCAAGCUUUUUUAGUUUUUUAUUCUGUUUGUCUACUUUUUGCGGUUGACUUAUCUCUAUAAAAUCCUCACAGUGGUUUUAUAUUGGACAUUCAAGAGGCUGAUAUUUUUGCAGAUUGCAGGUUAGUUUCUUGUCAAUUUAAUGAUACCUGAAUAGAUGCAUAUGAAGCUCAGUACCCAGUUUGGUCAAGGUUUUCUGGAUAGCUGGGCACAUACCAUAUUUCAGGUUGUGUAAGAGGUUUUAAAUGAUAUAAUCUUGUUCUGUGAAUUUUGCGAGGUAAGCAUAAGACUGAGAAGUCUCACCUGGCUCCUAACAGCAGCUGAGCUGUAGUCUGGAGAGAUGAGCUUUCCUAUUUACAUUUUGUUCUGUGAGGAUUCUGGGGAAAUGUGUGUGUUUUAAAGCACUGUAGUUAACAUCACUUUGCUGUUGAACUGGAAAGCUCUGCGAACACAUCCAAAGCUUGUCUCUCUGCUGUGCCCUACUGUGCUUCUGAAUGCCUCAUUUAGCGCUUUCUGAGUUAUUUGGAAUUUAUGGGAGCAAUUCUUCAAAUAAUGCAUUCACAUCAAGAGCAGAUCUGAUGAUACCAAAUGUUCUUGAACAUUCAUGUUCUUAUAGUGGUACUAUUACCUAGGUGAAGCAAUCUUUCAAUUAAGACACAGUAUAGCAGUGUUAAUUUCUUAAGGCUUGUCCUUAAAGACAGUGACUACUGUAACGCACAUCAGACUGCAUAGGGUGAUUUCUGCCAGGAAAGAUGAUUUCCUCUAAGAAUCAACAAUUCUGAUCUUACAACCACAAAGUCUUAGGAAGGCUGAUAAAGAGCUCAUCUCAUAACUUCUGACCAAUGUAAGAUCUACCUGUUAUUACUUGCUAAAUAAAAAUACUAAUAUUUUAUUGCACUGAGAAUCUUAUUAUAAGUGUAUAUAAAGUUUGUUAGUGUCUCUAUUCUUGUAGCAAUAAUUUUUCACCUGUGUAUCAUAGUUCUAUAUGGAAUUUAAAGGCUAUAUAGGCCACAUACCUCUCAUUAUCUUAGGUUUUGGCUAUAAAUACCCUUAAGAAGUCAAAGUUAGAAGCCUGAAAGUUGAAGGUGAGGUGUAUAUGGGGAUAUCAAGCAUGGCAAUGCAUACCUUGUUAGUCAAGGUAUUUACUUAAAAAGGCUAAGUAACAAAACAGAGUACAAUAGAACUGAUAAAUAUAUCUUAGGACUGAUCAAGCAGAAACCGUGGAAGAGACAGACAUAGGUAAAUG